GACUGCAUAGCUCAGUUGGAAGAGCAUUGGGCUAGUAUUCCAAAGGUCGUAGGUUCGAAUCCCGCCGUGGCCA